UUCCCUAGUACGGCGAGUGAAGCGGGAAGAGCUCAAAUUUGAAAUCUGGUAGCCUUCGGUUGCCCGAGUUGUAAUCUAGAGAAGUGUUUUCCGCGUUGGCCCAUGUACAAGUCCCUUGGAACAGGGCGUCAUAGAGGGUGAGAAUCCCGUCCUUGACAUGGACCCCCAAUGCUUUGUGAUACACUUUCAACGAGUCGAGUUGUUUGGGAAUGCAGCUCAAAAUGGGUGGUGAAUUCCAUCUAAAGCUAAAUAUUGGCGAGAGACCGAUAGCGAACAAGUACCGUGAGGGAAAGAUGAAAAGCACUUUGGAAAGAGAGUUAAACAGUACGUGAAAUUGUUGAAAGGGAAACGAUUGAAGUCAGUCAUGCUCUUUGGAUUAAGCCGUUCUGCGGUGUAUUUCAUUGAGCGGGGUCAACAUCAGUUUUGAUCGCUGGAAAAGGGCAGGAGGAAGGUAGCACUCUCGGGUGAACUUAUAGCCUCUUGUCGUAUACAGUGAUUGGGACUGAGGAACGCAGCAUGCCUUUUGGCCGGGAUUCGUCCACGUACAUGCUUAGGAUGUUGACAUAAUGGCUUUAAACGACCCGUCUUGAAACACGGACACC
rnacentral:rRNA from 1 species